AGCGUCAUUUAAACCAAUCCAGCCUCGUGCUCGGGUCUUGGGCCUUUUCGCCUCUGGGCGGGCCUCAAAAUCAGUGGCGGUGCCCCCUGGCUCUAAGCGUAGUAAUAUUCCUCGCUAUAGACGUCCGGUGGUAUCUUGCCAACAACCCCCAAUUUUCAAAGGUUGACCUCGGAUCAGGUAGGGAUACCCGCUGAACUUAA
rnacentral:misc_RNA from 1 species